rnacentral:rRNA from 1 species
GACGAACCGUGCGAACGUUGUUCGGAAUCACUGGGCUUAAAGGGCGCGUAGGCGGCCUGGCGCGUCCGGGGUGAAAGCCUCCAGCUCAACUGGAGAAGUGCCUCGGAUACGGCCGGGCUCGAGGGGGGUAGGGGCGUGUGGAACUUCCGGUGGAGCGGUGAAAUGCGUAGAUAUCGGAAGGAACGCCGGUGGCGAAAGCGACGCGCUGGACCUCUUCUGACGCUGAGGCGCGAAAGCCAGGGGAGCAAACGGG